GACAGCCGUAGGGGGCGCUUUGGCGCCCUCUGAGGAAAGUCCGGACUUCAUAGGACACCGUAGCAGCUAACAGCUGUCCGCCGCGAGGCGCGGAUUAGAGCAACAGAGACGAGCCGAUUGAGUUCGGGUGAAACGGGCAAUCUCUACGGGAAGCAACACUAAAUAGGCAGCCGCUGACCCUGUCCGGCGAGGCUGCGGGUAAGUGGCUUGAGCCCGGUCGCGAGGCCGGGACUAGACGAAUGGCUGUCACCGGGGCGACCUGGAACAAAAUCCGGCUUAUAGGAGAACU
rnacentral:RNase_P_RNA from 1 species